UAUCAAUGCAGAGUACAAGAAAAGUCCUUCGUCACUCAAUCGGUAAAUAAUGUAACAAAUAAACCAAUAUGUUACAGGUAUUCCAAUACCAGUUUUGUAACAUCAUAAUGUUCUGUACUUAAUCUACCUACAAUAUGAUUUUACUUUUGUUGUCUUACUGAUGGUGAGCAAUGUCUAAUUUUUCUACAAUUUGGUAAAGAUCUUUAUUUAUUGACAAGAGUUCAGCGAUAGUUAAUGCUUCAAGGUAAAUGUAAAAUAUAUUUUUGCUACUAUUGUC